GGAAGUGGUCUCCCGGGCACACUGCCAGAGCAGGGCUGCACUCAGAAACAGGACAAAGAGCCUGAGGGACCACAAUCAGCGGAAAACCCAGCAGACAAUACCAGAGAGUUUCCUGAAACGUUGCAUUAUGAGAAACAUGAAGAUGUCCCUGAGCGUGUUAAGCUGUUGCCAGCCACGAUUGUUAUACUAAAGAUGUACCUGGUCCGCGGAGGACAUCUUUCAGCCUAGUUUUUGAAGACCUGUUACUUCUCUUCCUCAAUUUUGAGUUUAAUAGAUGCAGAAAGACUUCCUACCUGAAAUUCCACCUUUAAAGCAUGUCUAUGAAACAAAGGUUUUCUACCAGCUCUUCCAUCCAAGUUUGAAACCUCCUGCUGAGCUUUUCUUCCCAAUGUGUGGGGCCAGCCACGGUGUUGCUACCCGGGAGGGAGUGGUCUCGAUGGGUAGCAUUUGCUGAUUUCCCUGAUGCAAACUCUCGCAUGGUGGCUGAUUUCAAGGACUAGCGAGACCUCAUUGCUGAAGAGCUGGGAAAAGCUGCCCCCGUCAGCUCUCCACAGCCAGUACAAGCUGGCUCCCGCCUACGCAGGAGACCCACGGAUUAUGCCCAUCUUUGGGAAAUGGCUCAGUUCAUUGCUCAGAGAUAAGGAACUGCUCAAAAGAGAGAGAAUGCUGAUAGGAACAGGCCAGAUGUGGGGACGCAAAGACAUAUAAUGUACCAGACAAUGCCAGGAGGGUGGAUAUGAAGCAAAGAAAAGACAUCUUCUCAAAAUAAAUAAAUAAAAAGACAUCUUCUCUCCCUUUUACAAAGACACAAAAUCCCAGAGUCUUGAAUGCUGUGUCCCAGAAGGGUCCAUUUUCAAUGGCACAAUAAUACAUGGAAGAGGCUUAAAACUGUGCCUAACAUUUCGUGCUCUAUACGUUGUCUUAGUUGUUGUUAAAACUCAACUUUCUGGGAUGCCUCAACUGGCCACGUAUCUUGAUAAAUUCAUUAUUUUCUUCAAUUAUGCUGUAAGAAGAAUACUUGUAUCUUCUUCAGCCUCCAACAGACAUUCCUUCACCAUCUACGGAAAGACCCUGAAUAUUUUCACUGGAAAAGGGCCAGUAGUGAAAUUGGCAAACACUCCUUCAACCAGGACAAUGCUUCUGGGGAAAUGACAUUUAUUGAGCACCUACUACAUGCCAGGCAACUACAAAAGAUCUCAUUUCACCCUCACAGCAACUCUGUAAAGGAGGCGCUAUUGCUGUCCUUUUAUAAAUAAGGAAACUGGGGCUCUGAGAUGUUAAGGGAGUUGUCUAGGACUAUAUGGUGAGAUAGUAACAUAGCUGGGGUGACUCAAAUCAGAAUCUCUCAGGCUCAAAGCACGUUCCUCUCUCUAUGUGUCCACACUGCCCUUGAUUGAGAGAAGGCAGAGCUCAAAGGUGGCAUUUUCAUCAGGUUGUGAAUCCACUUUCAUGUCAUAUCACUGUGUGAAUGGGACUCCCGCAUUUGCACAGUGUACAGCCUGUGAACCCUUACCUUACAUGGCUGUGUGCAUAUUUCUUGCCCCUCUUCUCUGUUACCUAUACCCCAUGGCCAUUUUCUCUUCCCCAGACUACACCCCAAUGCAGAAACAAAGGUCCAAAGAAAACACUCACUUCCACUUCAGUGAAACACAAAUACUUUUCUCCUCAGAGGGUUGAGGAAGGAGAGAGAAAAGAUGGUGGCCACUGAAAACAGGAGUGGAGGAUGGUCUGGAUUCCAGAAGGAUGAGGAGCACCCUAAGCAGAAGAAAGAAGGUUCCUCUGUCAGAGAAGUCCAGCAAGGAGGGUGAGCUGCCCCCACAGAAGCCUCUGCCAAGUUCUCCUGUAGACAACGUCCCGGACACGUGUACGUCCCCCUAACCUUCGGGUCAGGAACCUGGGUAAGGGACCGCGAAGGAAAGCUGAGUCCCUGACUGAGUGAUAACUGAGCGGAAAUCAGUGGGGACAUUUCCCUGUGGGCAGCAACAAGUAGUGAUGGGGUUCCAUGCUGUCCCUGGCCACAGGGAGAUGUGCUGUGGGUAAACUACGUACCAUAAAGGCAGUACAAGCGGUCCUGGGGAUGAAAAAAUACCAUCUGAAAUAGCUGCCACCAAAAUUCCUCUUUGAGAGGAAACUCCUUUGUUGGAAGGGUUACUUGGGAAGUACUAGGGUUAAAUAGUGAGCCCUUGAGGGGCAUGGGUGUGGUGGGCACAAGGUCUGUGAGGAGAGCAUGGCCUGGGCUUCCCGUGGUUGGUAUGGAGGCAGGGUGGAUGGGUGGGAGGAAAGAGGUGAAAAGAAAGACAGGAAGGUGAAGGGGGGUGUCAGCGAGGUAACGGGAAGCUGCCUAGAGAGGCGGAAUGCCCCUCUCUGCAAGGAAACAUACUCAACCCCCGGCUGUGACUGGGGUGAAUGGGACUUUCUGGCGACUUCAGAAGCAGCUGUGGUCACAUCUGGGUGGCUGUGAUGUGGGACAGAGACUACCUGCAAAGACUUGGGGUCCUGGAGGCUGCAGUGACCCUGACUACAUCAGCCCCUCUCUAUCCCCAGAGUGGGAAGAAACUGUAGGUUCAAGCCAAGUUUAGCUAUUUACUGUGACCUUGGUAGGUCCCUGCUGAUAGCUGGCUUAUGUAAAAUUCAGACAAUGAGCAGAGAAAACAUAAAUUCCAGCACAGGCGAAUUUGGAAAAUGCUGUAUAGAGCAAAUCGUGUUGACUUAGCAUUUGUGCUUAGCCGAGAAGGUGCUGCCCUGCACGUGCUCAGAGCCCCUCUCCCAUUUCACCAACUAGACAAGCCACUCCGCCAUCCUGCAGAGAAGCUAAGAGAGGGAAGGGCAGGUUGCUCUCCCAUGCUUCUGAACAUGUGGAAGAGGCAAGGGAGAAACAUGGGGUGAGGAAGAGAGAAAGACUUUCCCUAUCCGAAGAGCAAACCAGUCUGUGUAUGUUUGCCUCCAGUCAAACAGCUUCUAAAUACUGAAGAGUGCCAGAGGACUAUUUAUUUUGCCACUUACAAGCGAUCAGAAAAAAACCUUUUAUUUACAUUGUGGAGGCUCAAGGACCCUGAACUUAUUCUUAGGCUAUUAAAAUAAUUUUACUAUUUUGGCAACGUCUAAAUGCAAGUAAUUUAAGACACCCCUCUGCCUAAGGCUAACAAAAUCAUUGUGGUAUAACUAUUAGUUUGGUGCUAAAAGUAAUUGUGGUUUUUGCCAUUAAAAGUAUUUGUAGAACAAACCAAUUACUCUUGCACCAACUUAAUAGCAUUGGAUCCACUAACCUGGAAACACCACACCAGAGAGGUGCCUGACUGCAAGGAGAGCACAUGGUUGGCACAUGCCAAAUGUUUGUGGAAGAAGCUGGGGAGUCCCCAGCAGCUGAGAUGGAUGGUGAUCAUCAACUUCCGAAGUGUUAAAGAAAACUGAAGGGUUCUGGCCAGGCGUGGUGGUUCACACCUGUAAUCCCAGCACUUUGGGAGGCUGAGGUAGGCGGAUCACCUGAGGUCAGGAGUUCUAGACCAGCCUGGACAACAUGGCAAAACUCCAUCUCUACUAAAAAUACAAAAAUUAGCCGGGUGUGGUGGUGCAUGCCUGUGGUCCCAGCUGCUCGGGAGGCUGAGGCCAAAGACUCAUUUGAACCCAGUAGGUGGAGCUUGCAGUGAGUUUAGAUUACACCACUGCACUCCAGUCUGGGCAACAGAGUGAGAUUCUGC
rnacentral:lncRNA from 1 species